AGAAGUAUGCAAUAAUAGCUUUUGGAGCGCUAUGGUAUUCCUCCCGAACAUCGGGAACUAAAGCUGUAGACAACCGUUCCAAGAGACGCUGCUUCU
rnacentral:ncRNA from 1 species